rnacentral:rRNA from 1 species
GUAAACUUUAGAGUCGUUGUCCAGACCAGCCGAGUAAAUAAGUUCCUUGGAAUAGGACAUCAUGGAGGGUGAGAAUCCCGUCUUUGGCUUGAGCAUUGGUCUUUUGUGAUGCGACUUCAACGAGUCAGGUUGUUUGGGAAUGCAGCCUUAAUUGGGUGGUAAAUCUCACCUAAAGCUAAAUAUUGGCGAGAGACCGAUAGCGAACAAGUACCGUGAGGGAAAGAUGAAAAGAACUUUGAAAAGAGAGUUAAACAGUAUGUGAAAUUGCUAAAAGGGAACCGUUUGAAGUCAGUCUGGCUGGUCUGCAAUCAGCUUCAAUCUUGGUUGGAGUGCACUUGUAGGCCAUUUUUUUGCCUGCCAACAACAGUUUGUUCUGCAGCAAAAAGGUGUUGAGAAUGUGGCUUUCUCUUCGGAGGAAGUGUUAUAGCUCUUCGCGAAAUACUGUGGUUCAGACUGAGGCUUGCAGUGAAUGCUAUUUGGGCUUUGGGGAUGGAUUGCUCAGUGCUUUGCUUGGUUAGUUUCGGCCGUCAAACGUCGUGCUGGCCAAGUGAAGUCUGACUCGGUUCAUUCACUUUUAAUUCA